UACAGAGGUCUCAAGCGUUGUUCGGAUUUAUUGGGCGUAAAGAGCGUGUAGGCGGCCAGGUAGGUCUGCUGUGAAAACUCGAGGCUCAACCUCGAGACGUCGGCGGAAACCAUCUGGCUAGAGUCCGGAAGAGGAGAGUGGAAUUCCUGGUGUAGCGGUGAAAUGCGCAGAUAUCAGGAAGAACACCCGUGGCGACGGCGGCUCUCUGGGACGGUACUGACGCUGAGACGCGAAAGCGUGGGGAGCGAACAGG
rnacentral:rRNA from 1 species